rnacentral:rRNA from 1 species
UACGUAGGGGGCAAGCGUUGUCCGGAAUCAUUGGGCGUAAAGCGCGUGUAGGCGCCAGAAAAGUCCGCUGUGAAAACUCGAGGCUCAACUUCGAGCUGUCGGUGGAAACUUUCUGGCUAGAGUCCGGAAGAGGAGAAUGGAAUUCCUGGUGUAGCGGUGAAAUGCGCAGAUAUCAGGAAGAACACCCGUGGCGAAGGCGGUUCUCUGGGACGGUACUGACGCUGGAGACGCGAAAGCGUGGGGAGCGAACAGG